AAGUCGUAACAAGGUUUCCGUAGGUGAACCUGCGGAAGGAUCAUUAUUGAAUAAACUUAGUGGGUUGUUGCUGGCUCCUUGGAGCAUGUGCACACUUGCUGUUUUUAUGUCUCCACCUGUGCACUUUUUGUAGACCUGGAUAUCUCUCGAGGCAACUCGGUUUGAGGAUUGCAGACUUCGCAAGAGGUUAGCUUUCCUUGCAUUUCUAGGUCUAUGUUUUCAUAUAUACUCUUAUAAUGUUAUAGAAUGUCUUUUUUUAUGGGCUUCAUUGCCUUUAAACUAUAUACAACUUUCAACAACGGAUCUCUUGGCUCUC
rnacentral:misc_RNA from 1 species